UACGGAGGGUGCAAGCGUUAAUCGGAAUUACUGGGCGUAAAGAGUGCGUAGGUGGUUAAUUAAGUUAUCUGUGAAAUCCCUGGGCUUAACCUGGGCAGGUCAGAUGAUACUGAUUGACUCGAGUAUGGGAGAGGGUAGUGGAAUUUCCGGUGUAGCGGUGAAAUGCGUAGAGAUCGGAAGGAACACCAGUGGCGAAGGCGGCUACCUGGCCUGAUACUGACACUGAGGCACGAAAGCGUGGGGAGCAAACAGG
rnacentral:rRNA from 1 species